rnacentral:rRNA from 1 species
GUGUGGGGUAGCCGUAGCGAAAGCGAGUCCGAAUAGGGCGUUGUAGUCGCGUGCUCUAGACCCGAAGCGGAGUGAUCUACCCAUGGCCAGGUUGAAGCGCGGGUAAGACCGUGUGGAGGACCGAACCCACCAGGGUUGAAAACCUGGGGGAUGAGCUGUGGGUAGGGGUGAAAGGCCAAUCAAACUCCGUGAUAGCUGGUUCUCCCCGAAAUGCAUUUAGGUGCAGCGUCACGUGUUUCUUGCCGGAGGUAGAGCUACUGGAUGGCCGAUGGGCCCUACAAGGUUACUGACGUCAGCCAAACUCCGAAAUGCCGGUAAGUGAGAGCGUGGCAGUGAGACUGCGGGGGAUAAGCUCCGUAGUCGAGAGGGAAACAGCCCAGAACACCAGCUAAGGCCCCUAAGCGUGUGCUAAGUGGGAAAGGAUGUGGAGUUGCACAGACAACCAGGAGGUUGGCUUAGAAGCAGCCACCCUUUAAAGAGUGCGUAAUAGCUCACUGGUCAAGUGAUUCCGCGCCGACAAUGUAGCGGGU